rnacentral:rRNA from 1 species
GUGGGGAAUAUUGGACAAUGGGCGCAAGCCUGAUCCAGCCAUGCCGCGUGAGUGAUGAAGGCCUUAGGGUUGUAAAGCUCUUUCGUCAGGGAAGAUAAUGACGGUACCUGAAGAAGAAGCCCCGGCUAACUUCGUGCCAGCAGCCGCGGUAAUACGAAGGGGGCUAGCGUUGCUCGGAAUCACUGGGCGUAAAGCGCACGUAGGCGGCUUUCUAAGUCAGGGGUGAAAUCCUGGAGCUCAACUCCAGAACUGCCUUUGAUACUGGAAAGCUUGAGUUCGGGAGAGGUGAGUGGAACUGCGAGUGUAGAGGUGAAAUUCGUAGAUAUUCGCAAGAACACCAGUGGCGAAGGCGGCUCACUGGCCCGAUACUGACGCUGAGGUGCGAAAGCGUGGGGAGCAAACAGGAUUAGAUACCCGUGUAGUCC